GGCAGUGUGGCUUAGUGAAUAGAGCACGGGCUUGGGAGUCAGAUGAACCUGGGUUCUAACCCCAGCUCUGUCA
rnacentral:tRNA from 1 species